rnacentral:lncRNA from 8 species
CGUUGGGUGGUAAUGAAAUAUCUCUGUAAAGUCAUGUGUUUUUUAAGUGAUAUCCUUGACUUUUAUUUUGGAGAAAAAAACAACAGUCAAUUGGGGAAGAACUUCCCUCACUCAGAGAAACCAUUUCCAUGUGAACUUAAUUUCUGACUAAAUAUUAAACUACUCAUCCUAGCAAUUAUUUCCUGACCCCAACCAUCACAUUAGGCCUGUAAAUAACUAAGGACUGUGAUGACUACAUUGCAGACUUGCAGCAAAACAUGUACUAAUGAUUGUAUGUCAUUGUCAUCUUCAGUGCAGUCUGGCAUCAGAUCGCAAAAUCACAUGCAUGCAGUUACUGACAUGUUAAACACUUAUCCAGGUGUUGUGAGAUUUAGUGUGCAACUGUUUUACAGCCCUCGCUGGAAUGCAGUCGUUGUGUUGAUAUUGAGUGUCUCUCUGUCCACAGUACUCUGUGUUUCCCAACCAACAGUCCAGUCUGAGACUCAGCGGGUGAAUGGCAUCGUGGGACAGUCGUUCUCUUUUCCAGAGAGGGUGAUCAAGUCUGCCAAUUUACUUUACGGAGAACUUGGCAGUAUUGCAAAUGUGUACCCUGGUAAAGAAGGCAAAAUCACCCUCGGGAAGAGAUUUGAAAAUCGUAUCAACUUGAACAGUGAUACAAGAUACUUCACUCUGUCAGACCUUAAGAUAGACGAUGCUGGGGUUUAUACUGUGGAGAAUACAGAUGAAGGGGAAAAAAACAAAUUUGAGCUCACUGUAUACAAUUUUGUUUCCAAACCUCAGGUGACAGAGUGUGACAGCAGCUCCUGUAGUGUGGUGUGUUGUGUGCACAACGAAAAAGAGGUGACCUUGACCUUGUACAGGGGAGAGGAAUUACUAAACCAGACCAGCAGUCCUGAUCUCACCAAAGAUCUAUCUCUCCGUUUGGAGGUAGAGGGAAAGGACUACAACUCCACUUACAGCUGUGUGGCUUUUAACCCUAUCAGUAAUGAGACAGUUCCUAUCCCAAAAUGUUGCAGCAAAGAUGGUCAUCCUAAUGAUGCAGACAGUGAUGAGAGGGGUCGGGGUAUUCUUAUUAUUGCUGUAAUCUGCGUUUUGGUUGCCUUGGGGCUGGUUGGACUUGCAAUCUAUCUAAAGAAGAGUAGAAAUGGACAACCAAAAGGCAGGUAUUUAUCUUUUAGAGGUGUGAGGUCACCCCCCAAAGUCAAAGCAUGCUUAGCCUUUUUUCAUGUAUCUUUUAAUAUACAUUUUUUUGAUCAAGGGUAG